rnacentral:rRNA from 1 species
AACGCGAAGAACCUUACCUACCCUUGACAUGGUCGGAACCCUGCUGAAAGGUGGGGGUGCUCGAAAGAGAACCGGCGCACAGGUGCUGCAUGGCUGUCGUCAGCUUGUGUCGUGAGAUGUUGGGUUAAGUCCCGCAACGAGCGCAACCCUUGUCCUUAGUUGCUACGCAAGAGCACUCUAGGGAGACUGCCGGUGACAAACCGGAGGAAGGUGGGGAUGACGUCAAGUCCUCAUGGCCCUUAUGGGUAGGGCUUCACACGUCAUACAAUGGUCGGAACAGAGGGUUGCCAAGCCGCGAGGCGGAGCCAAUCCCAGAAAACCGAUCGUAGUCCGGAUCGCAGUCUGCAACUCGACUGCGUGAAGCUGGAAUCGCUAGUAAUCGCGGAUCAGCAUGCCGCGGUGAAUACGUUCCC